rnacentral:rRNA from 1 species
GACGAACGCUGGCGGCGUGCCUAAUACAUGCAAGUAGAACGCUGAAGCGAGGAGCUUGCUCUUCUUGGAUGAGUUGCGAACGGGUGAGUAACGCGUAGGUAACCUGCCUUGUAGCGGGGGAUAACUAUUGGAAACGAUAGCUAAUACCGCGUAACAAUGGAUGACACAUGUCAUUUAUUUGAAAGGGGCAAUUGCUCCACUACAAGAUGGACCUGCGUCGUAUUAGCUAGUAGGUGAGGUAAUGGCUCACCUAGGCGACGAUACAUAGCCGACCUGAGAGGGUGAUCGGCCACACUGGGACUGAGACACGGCCCAGACUCCUACGGGAGGCAGCAGUAGGGAAUCUUCGGCAAUGGGGGCAACCCUGACCGAGCAACGCCGCGUGAGUGAAGAAGGUUUUCGGAUCGUAAAGCUCUGUUGUAAGUCAAGAACGGGUGUGAGAGUGGAAAGUUCACACUGUGACGGUAGCUUACCAGAAAGGGACGGCUAACUACGUG